rnacentral:rRNA from 1 species
CAAUAGCGUAUAUUAAAGUUGUUGCAGUUAAAAAGCUCGUAGUUGAAUUUCUGGUGGGCGCGCCGGUCUUCCAAGUGUUGUACUGGGCGCAGUCCGCCAUCCUUGUGGAGAGGGCUCGCAUUGAGUUGCGUGUCGGAUCUGCAUCAUUUACUGUGAAAAAAUUAGAGUGUUUAAAGCAGGCUGUCGCUUGAAUACAUUAGCAUGGAAUAAUAAGAUAGGACUUCGGUCUAUUUUGUUGGUUGCGAACCGAGGUAAUGAUUAAUAGGGAUAGUUGGGGGUAUUCAUAUUUAAUUGUCAGAGGUCAAAUUCUUGGAUUUAUGAAAGAUGAACAACUGCGAAAGCAUUUACCAAGGAUGUUUUCAUUAA